CCCUUAGAUGUUCUGGGCUGCACACGUGCUACACUGGCAGGUUCAGCGAGCUUCAUGCCCUGAUCUGAAAGGAAUGGGAAAUCUUUUCAAAACCUGCCGUGCUUGGGAUAGAUGUUUGCAAUUAUUCGUCUUCAACGAGGAUUGCCUUGUAAGCGCACGUCAUCAGCGUGCAUUGAAUACGACCCUGUAUUCUGUACACACCGCCCGUCGCUCCUACCGAUUGAAGUUUUCGGUGAGUUGACAGGAGGAUUUUUUUGAAACUGGUUCGCCAGUGGAUUUUAGAUCCAAAUGCCAACGAAUCGAUGGCUUUAGAGGAAGGAGAAGUCGUAACA
rnacentral:rRNA from 1 species